AUGGAGCCAUUUCAUGCGGCACUCAUCACGUUGUCUUGCAUCUUUACAGAAUCCUACCUGGAGGAUUACUUCACUUUUAUCUUCUGCCCCAAGGGAAAGAGCAAAAUGCAGGAGAACGCAGUUUCUAAGCUGAGCCGGGCAAAGGUAUUUGUUAAAUACCUUUUGCUCGGCUCAGACUCGUCUGCAUCCUGGAACUGGCAGUUCCUGUACAACAUCCCCCUGCUGAAGUCCUACCCCGCAGUCCUCUGCAAAUUUGGCCUUUCGCCGACCACCAUCAGCCUCUACUUGGGCCAGGCCGUCUCAUUUGUGGAGUACUUCAGGGCCAUGCUGCCCAGCCACUCGCGGCUCCACCGUGGGCAAACCAAAAUCCUGGUCCUCAAGCUCAAGAAGCUGAGCAGGGACAUCGGGCGGACCGUCCUGGGACACCAGCUGCUGACCAAGCAAAAAAAGGUCUCCAAGCUGGUGUCCAAGGAGGACCUCCGCCUUUGCCAGCUCCUUGCUCGGGAGAAAAUCCCCUCUCUGCUCGAGGACAUUGAGAAGGCGCCGGCGAGGGACCCCAAGACCCGCUACAGGUUCUUUGGCUACCUCGCAGCCUACCUGUCUGUCAUUUAUGGCCACCGGACGGGGGUCCUCACCCGCAUGAGAGUCAAGGAGGUCCGGCAGGCCAUAGGUGACGACCAGACAGGUUAUCUAAUCAAUGUCCUCGAGCACAAGACUGCCCGGAAAUUCGGAACCGCCCAAAUCUACUUAGAGCCCGAAGAAUUUUUGUGGUUCCAGACCUGGCUCAGGCUGAGAGACAGAGCCGUUGCCAGGAAUGGCUAUUUAUUUUCGUCUCUUGGCCGUGGGGAGGCGAAAGACAUGGCCCGUUAUUUCAGCAAAGCCUGGAAAGAGAUGGGACUCUAGGGGUACCCUACCAUCAUGGACAUACGAACGGCUGUGUCCACCUACAAUUUUCAGGAGAACAACCCGGAGGUGCGGGAGAACCUCUCUAAAUUCAUGUGCCACAACGUGGGCACCCAGGAGAGGUUCUAUGCCUUACACAAGAACGUCUCCCGGGCAAGAGAGAUCCGGCAGCUUUUUGUCUGCCUCUCGCUAAGAGAGGGGGCUCAUCAAAAGACGAGCCGGCUGCUCCCGCACAUUUACCCGCUGAA
rnacentral:lncRNA from 1 species